rnacentral:rRNA from 1 species
CGGAGCUUGCUCCACCGGAAAAAGAAGAGUGGCGAACGGGUGAGUAACACGUGGGUAACCUGCCCAUCAGAAGGGGAUAACACUUGGAAACAGGUGCUAAUACCGUAUAACAAUCAAAACCGCAUGGUUUUGAUUUGAAAGGCGCUUUCGGGUGUCGCUGAUGGAUGGACCCGCGGUGCAUUAGCUAGUUGGUGAGGUAACGGCUCACCAAGGCCACGAUGCAUAGCCGACCUGAGAGGGUGAUCGGCCACAUUGGGACUGAGACACGGCCCAAACUCCUACGGGAGGCAGCAGUAGGGAAUCUUCGGCAAUGGACGAAAGUCUGACCGAGCAACGCCGCGUGAGUGAAGAAGGUUUUCGGAUCGUAAAACUCUGUUGUUAGAGAAGAACAAGGAUGAGAGUAACUGUUCAUCCCUUGACGGUAUCUAACCAGAAAGCCACGGCUAACUACGUGCCAGCAGCCGCGGUAAUACGUAGGUGGCAAGCGUUGUCCGGAUUUAUUGGGCGUAAAGCGAGCGCAGGCGGUUUCUUAAGUCUGAUGUGAAAGCCCCCGGCUCAACCGGGGAGGGUCAUUGGAAACUGGGAGACUUGAGUGCAGAAGAGGAGAGUGGAAUUCCAUGUGUAGCGGUGAAAUGCGUAGAUAUAUGGAGGAACACCAGUGGCGAAGGCGGCUCUCUGGUCUGUAACUGACGCUGAGGCUCGAAAGCGUGGGGAGCAAACAGGAUUAGAUACCCUGGUAGUCCACGCCGUAAACGAUGAGUGCUAAGUGUUGGAGGGUUUCCGCCCUUCAGUGCUGCAGCUAACGCAUUAAGCACUCCGCCUGGGGAGUACGACCGCAAGGUUGAAACUCAAAGGAAUUGACGGGGGCCCGCACAAGCGGUGGAGCAUGUGGUUUAAUUCGAAGCAACGCGAAGAACCUUACCAGGUCUUGACAUCCUUUGACCACUCUAGAGAUAGAGCUUCCCCUUCGGGGGCAAAGUGACAGGUGGUGCAUGGUUGUCGUCAGCUCGUGUCGUGAGAUGUUGGGUUAAGUCCCGCAACGAGCGCAACCCUUAUUGUUAGUUGCCAUCAUUCAGUUGGG